AACGAACGCUGGCGGCAGGCUUAACAUAUGCAAGUCGAGCGCCCCGCAAGGGGAGCGGCAGACGGGUGAGUAACGCGUGGGAAUCUACCCAUCUCUACGGAAUAACGCAUGGAAACGUGUGUUAAUACCGUAUACGUCCUUCGGGAGAAAGAUUUAUCGGAGAUGGAUGAGCCCGCGUUGGAUUAGCUAGUUGGUGGGGUAAAGGCCUACCAAGGCGACGAUCCAUAGCUGGUCUGAGAGGAUGAUCAGCCACACUGGGACUGAGACACGGCCCAGACUCCUACGGGAGGCAGCAGUGGGGAAUAUUGGACAAUGGGCGCAAGCCUGAUCCAGCCAUGCCGCGUGAGUGAUGAAGGCCCUAGGGUUGUAAAGCUCUUUCACCGGUGAAGAUAAUGACGGUAACCGGAGAAGAAGCCCCGGCUAACUUCGUGCCAGCAGCCGCCGUAACAC
rnacentral:rRNA from 1 species